AAGUUCUGAGGGAAAUUAUUAAUACACACACACACACACACACACACACACACACACACACACACACACACACACACACACACACACACACACACACACACACACACACACACACACACGGAGAGAGUCCUGUUUCACUUCUACGUGGGGACUCACCAUUCACAUAAUGCCUUCCUUAGCCCCUUACUCUACCCCUAACCAUCAUCAACCCAUCAACUAAAGGCAGACGUCUAAUUUUGCUCUAAUCUGAACCAAAACUCAAGUUUGACCUCAGCCCUAAAAUCACAUCUUGAUUUACAGAAAAGCCUUUGGACUGGUGGGUUGUCGCAGUGUCCUCACCUUGAUAGCAAAACAUGGUUUAUGGUCCCCACAUUGAAGGAGAAACAUGCACCGAUGAAAAUACAUGAUUAACGCAGAGGUUUUAAUAAUCAUUUUGGCUGCAGGUAGUAACCGAGAUAAAAGCCCCAAAAGAUUCACACCAUUAAAGGAAGUUUGAUGUGACCUUCUGCCAUGUUUUAGUAAUUUUUCACUUCAUGUCAAUGCUUACGCUGAAUCCGUGCACGGACACUGAACGCCUCGGUUCCCGUGCGUUGGAGCUUAAAGUACUGUACGUGGUGUGUGUGUGUGUGUGUGUGUGUGUGUGUGAACGUCUUGUACUGUAUGUGCAUGCUGUACAUUUCUUUGUGUGAUAUCAGAUCACUUGAUCCUGCCCUCCAUUUGCAUGUUGCAUAUUUACUGCCUGUGUGCAGUGAGCGCGUAUAUGUGUGUGCUUUCAGGAUUGACCCAAACGGACCCGUCACAAAGUCUGUCACCACCCAGUCACCAUGGCGCCCAACUUGGCCGAGACCCGACGGCGGCAGGGAGCACCUUGUCACCGUGAUCACUCACAACCAUUGCGUCGCAUUGCUGCUGCUGAAGAACAUCUGACGGCUCCGGUGGUUAAUACUACGCUGCACUCCCUGACCACUUUAUUAGGGGAACAGAAACAGCAGCAGGGGGAGAAUUCCCAUGUUGCUGGAGGUGAUGCUGCAGACAAGCCACCAAUCACAGACGGACAAAGACGGAUCCUCCUGGCUGCCUUACAGGACAUCAGUCAAACCCAGCUUUGUUAG
rnacentral:lncRNA from 1 species